GCUUAUGGCCAUACCAGCCUGGGUACGCCCGAUCUUGUCUGAUCUCGGAAGCUAAGCAGGGUCGGGCCUGGUUAGUACUUGGAUGGGAGACCGCCUGGGAAUACCAGGUGCUGUAAGCA
rnacentral:rRNA from 1 species